rnacentral:rRNA from 2 species
UGUUUGAUGUUCUAACGUGGACCCGUGAUCCGGGUUGCGGACAGUGUCUGGUGGGUAGUUUGACUGGGGCGGUCUCCUCCUAAAGAGUAACGGAGGAGCACGAAGGUUGGCUAAUCCUGGUCGGACAUCAGGAGGUUAGUGCAAUGGCAUAAGCCAGCUUGACUGCGAGCGUGACGGCGCGAGCAGGUGCGAAAGCAGGUCAUAGUGAUCCGGUGGUUCUGAAUGGAAGGGCCAUCGCUCAACGGAUAAAAGGUACUCCGGGGAUAACAGGCUGAUACCGCCCAAGAGUUCAUAUCGACGGCGGUGUUUGGCACCUCGAUGUCGGCUCAUCACAUCCUGGGGCUGAAGUAGGUCCCAAGGGUAUGGCUGUUCGCCAUUUAAAGUGGUACGCGAGCUGGGUUUAGAACGUCGUGAGACAGUUCGGUCCCUAUCUGCCGUGGGCGCUGGAGAACUGAGGGGGGCUGCUCCUAGUACGAGAGGACCGGAGUGGACGCAUCACUGGUGUUCGGGUUGUCAUGCCAAUGGCACUGCCCGGUAGCUAAAUGCGGAAGAGAUAAGUGCUGAAAGCAUCUAAGCACGAAACUUGCCCCGAGAUGAGUUCUCCCUGACCCUUUAAGGGUCCUGAAGGAACGUUGAAGACGACGACGUUGAUAGGCCGGGUGUGUAAGCGCAGCGAUGCGUUGAGCUAACCGGUACUAAUGAACCGUGAGGCUUAACCUU